rnacentral:lncRNA from 1 species
GUCCUAGGGCUCAGGUCCUCCGAGAGAGAGAAAGAAAGAGAGAAAGAGAGAAUUAGAGAGAGCAUACUUAAAUUCACACAGGACACCGGAUAAGACAGGAGAAAUACUCCAGAUAUAACAGACUGACCCUAGCCCCCCGACACAUAAACUACUGCAGCAUAAAUACUGGAGGCUGAGACAGGAGGGGUCAGGAAACACUGUGGCCCCAUCCGACGAUAGCCCCAGACAGGGCCAAACAGGAAGGAUAUAACCCCACCCACUUUGCCAAAGCACAGCCCCCACACCACUAGAGGGAUAUCUUCAACCACCAACUUACCAUCCUGAGACAAGGCCGAGUAUAGCCAACAAAGAUCUCUGCCACGGAACAACACAAGGGGGGGGCGCCAACCCAGACAGGAAGACCACGUCAGUGACUCAAUCCACUCAAGUGACGCACCCCUCCUAGGGACGGCAUGGAAGAACACCAAUAAGCCAGUGACUCAGCCCCUGUAAUAGGGUUAGAGGCAGAGAAUCCCAGUGGAGAGAGGGGAACCGGCCAGGCAGAGACAGCAAGGGCGGUUCGUUGCUCCAGAGCCUUUCCGUUCACCUUCACACUCCUGGGCCAGACUACACUCAAUCAUAGGACCCACUGAAGAGAUGAGUCUUCAGUAAAGACUUAAAGGUUGAGACCGAGUCUGCGUCUCUCACAUGGUUAUAGUCGCUGCCACGCCCCCAGGGGCCAAAUCUGAGGUGUCUCCAUCUUUUCAUGGACAAUGACUCAACACACCUGCAGACUGUGUAAGGGCUAUUUGACUUAGGAGAGUGAUGGAGUGCUGCAUGAGAUGACCUGGCCUUCACAAUCACCCGACCUCAAUCCAAUUGAGAUGGUUUGGGAUGAGUUGGACCGCAGAGUGAAGGAAAAGCAGCCAACAAGUGCUCUACAUACGUGGGAACUUCUUCAAGACUGUUGGAAAAUAUUGUGGGAGGUGAAAGAAUCGCUGGCUCAUUAACAUAUUUGAAGGUGUGCGUUGCAAUGUUCCAUCAAAAACAAUUAGGCACUGAGCACAGUUUUCAGGUCUGCUGAGCGCAAGCUUGAACUUUGUUUAAAUUCUAUGUCAAAUCAAAUCAAAUGUAUUUAUAUAGCCCUUCUUACAUCAGCUGAUAUCUCAAAGUGCUGUACAGAAACCCAGCCUAAAACCCCAAACAGCAAGCAAUGCAGGUGUAGAAGCACGGUGGCUAGGAAAAACUCCCUAGAAAGGCCAAAACCUAGGAAGAAACCUAGAGAGGAACCAGGCUAUGAGGG